rnacentral:lncRNA from 13 species
UUCUGCUGUUAGCAGCUGUACUAGACACAUAACUCUGGGACUGGUUACUGGACUGGUCACUGUCUGGGACAGACACUUAGGUCUUCCUCUGUCUGUUGUCUCAGUGGAAGCAGACAGUGUGUUCAGCAGCAUAAUAUUUGUGGAUUAUUCCACUAGUACGGCUACUGAGGAUGCCCUACUCAGCCAGGGUCCGAACCACAGCAGCACACUGGUCCAUCUACUGGUUACCUGUAAGAGUGGAGCAUGUCAUCUAGUCGACGCAGGAAGAGGACUGGACUCUCAUAAUGUCACACAACUAUCAGA